rnacentral:rRNA from 1 species
AGAUUGAACGCUAGCGGGAUGCUUUACACAUGCAAGUCGAACGAGACCUUCGGGUCUAGUGGCGCACGGGUGCGUAACACGUGGGAAUCUGCCCUUGGGUUCGGAAUAACAGUUGGAAACGACUGCUAAUACCGGAUGAUGACGUAAGUCCAAAGAUUUAUCGCCCAGGGAUGAGCCCGCGUAGGAUUAGCUAGUUGGUGAGGUAAAGGCUCACCAAGGCGACGAUCCUUAGCUGGUCUGAGAGGAUGAUCAGCCACACUGGGACUGAGACACGGCCCAGACUCCUACGGGAGGCAGCAGUGGGAAUAUGGACAAUGGGCGAAAGCCUGAUCCAGCAAUGCCGCGUGAGUGAGUGAAGGCCGUUAGGGUUGUAAAGCUACUUUUUACCCGGGAAGAUAAUGACGUGUAACCGGGAGAAGUAAGCUACCGCUAACUCCGCGCCAGCAGCCGC